AACGAACGCUGGAGGCAGGCUUAACACAUGCAAGUCGAACGCCCCGCAAGGGGAGUGGCAGACGGGUGAGUAACGCGUGGGAAUCUACCCAGUUCUACGGAACAACAGAGGGAAACUUCUGCUAAUACCGUAUACGCCCCAAGGGGGAAAGAUUUAUCGGAAUUGGAUGAGCCCGCGUAAGAUUAGCUAGUUGGUGAGGUAAUGGCUCACCAAGGCGGCGAUCUUUAGCUGGUCUGAGAGGAUGAUCAGCAACACUGCGACUGAGACACGGCCCCGACUCCUACGGGCGGCAGCAGUGGGGUAUAUUGGACAAUGGGCGCAAGCCUGAUCCAGUCAUGCCGCGUGAGUGAUGAAGGCCUUAGGGUUGUAAAGCUCUUUCAGUAGGGAAGAUAAUGACGGUACCUACAGAAGAAGCCCCGGCUAACUUCGUGCCAGCCGCCGCCGUAAGAC
rnacentral:rRNA from 1 species